CCCCUUUCAGCAGGGAAGAAGCGAGAGUGACGGUACCUGCAGAAGAAGCGCCGGCUAACUACGUGCCAGCAGCCGCGGUAAUACGUAGGGCGCAAGCGUUGUCCGGAAUUAUUGGGCGUAAAGAGCUCGUAGGCGGUUUGUCGCGUCUGCUGUGAAAACCCGAGGCUCAACCUCGGGCCUGCAGUGGGUACGGGCAGACUAGAGUGCGGUAGGGGAGACUGGAAUUCCUGGUGUAGCGGUGGAAUGCGCAGAUAUCAGGAGGAACACCGAUGGCGAAGGCAGGUCUCUGGGCCGCAACUGACGCUGAGGAGCGAAAGCGUGGGGAGCGAACAGGAUUAGAUACCCUGGUAGUCCACGCCGUAAACGUUGGGAACUAGAUGUGGGGUCCAUUCCACGGAUUCCGUGUCGCAGCUAACGCAUUAAGUUCCCCGCCUGGGGAGUACGGCCGCAAGGCUAAAACUCAAAGGAAUUGACGGGGGCCCGCACAAGCGGCGGAGCAUGCGGAUUAAUUCGAUGCAACGCGAAGAACCUUACCAAGGCUUGACAUACACCGGAAACGGCCAGAAAUGGUCGCCCCGCAAGGUCGGUGUACAGGUGGUGCAUGGUUGUCGUCAGCUCGU
rnacentral:rRNA from 1 species